AGAGAGGUCACCUCAGUGACUUAACAUGGGAGUCACCCAGGCUGGUUCUCAUUUUUUUUUAAACACACGAUUCCUUUUCUCCUUCCCCCACCCCCAGAGACUUCUCUGGGUUUGACUGGACUCCGGAAUCUAUAUUUUUAGAAGGUUCCCUGGUGAUUCAGAUAAGUUCAGUCUGUGACCCACUGGCACACUCACCUUCAGACAGAGGAAUAUCUGCUUGGAUGUUCUGGGUGUACAAGCAUCUGGCUGGCAUAAGUUUUCCCCUUUUGAAGACAUGGAAAAUAGCAGAUGCUCAUUUAAAUGAGGGUGGGAAGACCAAAUCUCCAGCGCAUCUCUCCACGGUACUGAGCCGCUCCGAACAAAAGCUCCAGUCUUGAAAGGUGAAAUAUAACCAGUAUGCCACAGUGUUGUACGUGAGGACAGCAGACGACACAGCCACAUCUAUCAACUUUUCCCAGCAAGUCGUACCUGCACCGUCAGCUGGUCUUAGAAGUUAGGUCCUCGUACAAUCGAAUUGGCU
rnacentral:lncRNA from 1 species